rnacentral:rRNA from 1 species
GAUGAACGCUGGCGGCGUGCCUAAUACAUGCAAGUCGAGCGAAAAGACGAGGAGCUUGCUCCCUCGGCGUUAGCGGCGGAGGGGGGAGUAACAUGUAGGUGAAAUACCUAUAAGAAUGGGGUAAAUUAGGGAAACCGGAGCCUAUACCGGAAAAAAUUUCGAACAGCAUGGUUCGAUAGUGAAAGAUGGCUUUGCUAUCACUUAUAGACGAUCCUGCGCCGUAUUAGCUAGUUGGUAAGGUAACGGCUUACCAAGGCAACGACCCGUAGCCGACCUGAGAGGGUGAUCGGCCACACUGGAACUGAGACACGGUCCAGACUCCUACGGGAGGCAGCAGUGGGGAAUCUUCCGCAAUGGGCGAAAGCCUGACGGAGCAACGCCGCGUGAAUGAUGAAGGUCUUCGGGUCGUAAAGUUCUUUAAGCAGGGAGGAAGGAACGUGUAUGUAACCGUGCACGUAUUGACGGUACCUGAAGAAGAAGCCACGGCUAACUACGUG